CAUUGGCCAAACAGUAUUUUAUUUAACAAUCAAUAAGAUAAACAUACACAGUAUAUUCCCCAUCAGUUUUCUUCAGUUAUUAUAAAAGAUAAGUUACCCUUCCUUUUAUUUAGGCAGAAAAGAGGAGAUGAUUGAACUCAGAGCUUCAGCAUGCAAGGCAAGCACUCUAUCAACUGAACUACAGCCUAGUUCUAAAGUCCGAUUUCUCAUGGGAGGGAAUGGAGGCAGGAGAUGGUGGUGCUGUCCGGCUGCAGAGAAGCCAGAGACUUGUACUCUUCUCAACACUGGUCAAAGAAGUUUCUUUCUGCCGCAGCUACAGUGUAGAAACUCCAACUGCUGAAGUGCUGAGAAUAAGUGACUGUGAGGGUCAGCUCUAAAGUGGACAUUGACAUCACUCUCCUUAACCCAAGGCCCAGAGAACAUCAUGGAGGAGGUGCUAGAAAGAAUUGAAGAGCUGGGUGGGAGGACCACUGUGAAAUGCUGUACCCUGGCCACGGCAGGGCCAUCACACUUACAAACUCACAGCAGCUGUGGCUGCCUACACAAAGCAUCACAAGGUCAAGACAAUCAAAAUUCCAGCAUGGACAGAGGGGAGAGUCAUAAAGCCUCACCUCUAGGUGAGAAGCUAGCUGGAGAGUCAUUUUUCUUCAUGGGUGUGGCCACUGGAGGUUGUUGACAUAGUAGUGGAAGGCUCUGUCCCUCACCUCCUUGUCCACACAGGAAACAUUCACUGCUCUCAGUUAUAUAAAACAAGCAAGAAAACAAACAAAACUCCCAAAGACAUGAAGGUGUGUGUGUGUGUGUGUGUGUGUGUGUGUGUGUGUGUGUGUGUGAUAUGUUGAAAGGGUUCUGGGGGAGGGAAGCAAGGGACUGGAUAUUGUUGUAGGGUUCUGAGUGAAAAGACAGGAAGAAAGAAUACUGAGGGGUCUUUAGGAAAACGGCUUUAAUAUGAAUACACAGACUCAGAUGAACUCUGUUUUGUAAACAAACUGAGUGAUGAAUACAGGAAAAUAGGGCUUUGACAAUGUUUUGUUUGCCUCCAUAUAUUGGUGACCUAUAAUUGCAUUAGUUACUUUGUAGCCUUAAGGUAAGAUUCCAUUGAUGGCCUGGAGGGCCGCUUGGGG
ensembl:lncRNA